UGGGCAAACACUGUAUCAUUGAGCCAUCGUUCAUAAAAUAUGAGUACAUAUGGGACGUCAAGGCCUCUGGCAUACUGUACAAAAUGAACCUCUGUCUACGAAGCCUCUAAGAUUAACUAACAUAAAAUGGGACAGGGUACCAGACUACCCAUAAGUUUGUAGUAAAACUCUAACACAUUCACUCAAAGACUUGGCUGUACUGCGAAUGAGGUGGAGUCUUACCAAUCCUUCGCUGAAUGCCAAUAGCGUCUACUAUGAGGGCUCAUCAAACUGAUUAUCUGUACCUGCAGGCAUGAAUGUAGCAUCCCCAACAAAAGGACGGCACUACGAAUAAUGUACUGAGUAUGUAAGGCGGAACUGAAAUAUAACAAUAAGUCAACAUUAAUUAAAGACAUAUAAAAAUCAACAUGAAUCUCUGAAGUGCCACCAUAAAUGCAUACUUAUUAUACUUAUAUAUAUAUAUAUAUAUAUAUAUAUAUAUAUAUAAUGCUUCUCUUUGAGACUAUUAUCCAUAUCGUAUAAUGCAUGACUGCCCAACUGAUCAGUGGUAACUGCCCGACCGGCCGUCGCACGGUGGUAAAUAUAUGACUGCCUAACUGGUGGUAAAUAAUGAUACAUAACUGCCCAACCGAUGGUAGCUGACCGACCGGCCGUAGCUCGGUGGUAAAUGCAUGUUUGCCCAACCGGCUGUAGCACAGUGGUAAUGAAUAUGCAUGACUGCCCAACCAGCCGUAGCACGGUGGUAAAUAUGCAACUGCCCAACUGGCCGUAGCUCGGUGGUAAAUGCAUGACUGCCCGACCGGCUGUAGCUCGGUGGUAAAUGCAUAUGCAUUAAGAUGCAUGUAUCGCUAUAUCAUAAACAUUAACAUCUUUAUCAUAUACCUCAAUAAGGAACUAGAUACAUACUUAAACAUGCUUGAAUAUCAAUUUACAUGAAUGAAUAAUAUAGUCAUCCUUAACUGCUAAGAGUAGAACCACUUAUGGAAUAGCAUUCCGUUUACGUAUCGUUACUUGGAUCAUGCCAAAAGGAAAGAAGGGAUAGAUUUAACAUACCUGAGAUGACUCUCUUGACAAUCCUUCUAAUACAUAUUAAUUACGAUAAUAAGCAUCCAUUGCUGUGUUGAAAGUGGCUAUAUCUGGCUGACAACCUUCCAUACUCAUGAGCCCAAACAUUCCCAUGAAUCAAAAUCCCAACUUUUUCAUACCCAUUUGACAUAAAAGGAACACUAAUUAACGAUCACAAAGGAAGGAGAGGCACUGUUUCAGAUUAUAUAUGCCAGGCUUAUAGUAUGUUUUAUAAACUUCAAAUUCGGAUUUACCAAACUGUUAGUACAUAUUCAAUAUUUUUCUUUACCAAUAAAUGAAUUGAUGUCAAUAUGAUAUGUACAAAUUAUUAAGCUCACAAGUUUUACAUAUGAGCAUUAGUCAUUGAAAAAGAUAGUUGAAGUAUUACUUAGAUUCUUCAACUCACUGCUCACCAAUAUUAGUUACUGAGAAUACAAACACAAUUUAAGUAGCCUAGAUACCUUAAACUUUCUGUGACUAUAAAAUAUUGAUCGUCAACAUGAAUACAGAAAAGGUUCAAUAGUAGAUACUAUUAACUUAUGUUAUUCAAACUUUUAUUUGACAUCCUACUAACCAUUUCACCUUAUCACAUUUUAAAGCAUUAUUGUAAACACUUCUGUCAUCCUUUAAAAAUUAUUCUGUCAAAAAUAAAGCUUGAUAUAAUAAUCUAUAUAGAUAUACUACUCUUAAUUGGAAUUGAGGUAGCAAUUUCUAAAAGUAGAUGACAAAAAAAUAGAUGUGAUAACUUUAUUUUACAAGUGAACUAAACAAGACAAAUGAUCCUUACCCCUCUUCGUGUACUUCCCUUGUCACUCCAAAAAUCCAAAUAAGCAUAAUCUUAAUGUAGAUAUAGAAGAAUAUAUAGAAGAACAUGGGAACUUUUGUCAAACCAUGUCAAGGAAUUAUAAAUGAUAUG
rnacentral:lncRNA from 1 species